rnacentral:lncRNA from 1 species
UGGCAGUCCGAGGCAGUUUCUGAAUUCUGUGUUGAGGCUCGUUUGGAAGACUGAUAUGGUUGACAGGUUGAGAUAUCAAUUGUUUUUAUGUGUUUGAUGAGAACGAGUCAUAUAUGCUUAAUUUGCAACGCCACAUGGGUGUGAUGAUGUAUAAUGUCCAUCCUCGUUAGAAAUCCUAUGCUCUGUAGGUGUUGCAUGUUUUUUGACCUUUGAGCUAUAGUUAUGUACGGAUAAUGUAUCACCUGUGAGCUGAAUGCGCAUAGUAUUGUUCAACACCUCUCCAUGGUCCACAUUACUGUGAAGCAUGUGUUUGCCAGUUCAUAUUCCUUUGGGAAUGAGAUUUUAUGUUUCCCUGCAUGCGUUGUUAUUAUAAUUAAU